rnacentral:rRNA from 1 species
GAUGAACGCUGGCGGCGUGCCUAAUACAUGCAAGUCGAGCGAACAGACGAGGAGCUUGCUCCUCUGACGUUAGCGGCGGACGGGUGAGUAACACGUGGAUAACCUACCUAUAAGACUGGGAUAACUUCGGGAAACCGGAGCUAAUACCGGAUAAUAUAUUGAACCGCAUGGUUCAAUAGUGAAAGACGGUUUUGCUGUCACUUAUAGAUGGAUCCGCGCCGCAUUAGCUAGUUGGUAGGGUAACGGCUUACCAAGGCAACGAUGCGUAGCCGACCUGAGAGGGUGAUCGGCCACACUGGAACUGAGACACGGUCCAGACUCCUACGGGAGGCAGCAGUAGGGAAUCUUCCGCAAUGGGCGAAAGCCUGACGGAGCAACGCCGCGUGAAUGAUGAAGGUCUUCGGAUCGUAAAACUCUGUUAUUAGGGAAGAACAAAUGUGUAAGUAACUAUGCACGUCUUGACGGUACCUAAUCAGAAAGCCACGGCUAACUACGUG